ACGCUCGACACCUACGGGAGCAGCAGUGGGGAAUAUUGCACAAUGGAGGAAACUCUGAUGCAGCGAUGCCGCGUGAGGGAAGAAGGUUUUCGGAUUGUAAACCUCUGUCUUUGGGGACGAUAAUGACGGUACCCAAGGAGGAAGCUCCGGCUAACUACGUACCAGCAGCCGCGGUAAUCUGAGCGGGCUGGCAAGGC
rnacentral:rRNA from 1 species